ensembl:snoRNA
AUUCUUCUAUGGUUCUUAGGUUGAUGAUUAGGUUUUCAUGCUCUGGUGUGAGAUAUGCCUUCAUCAAACCUUGUUAUCACUUUGACACAUUAUCCAUCUAACA